CAUCCGCUAUGUAGGGAUACCCC
rnacentral:siRNA from 1 species